AUUGAACGCUGGCGGCAGGCCUAACACAUGCAAGUCGAGCGGAUGAAGGGAGCUUGCUCCUGGAUUCAGCGGCGGACGGGUGAGUAAUGCCUAGGAUCUGCCUGGUAGUGGGGGAUAACGUCCGGAAACGGGCGCUAAUACCGCAUACGUCCUGAGGGAGAAAGUGGGGGAUCUUCGGACCUCACGCUAUCAGAUGAGCCUAGGUCGGAUUAGCUAGUUGGGGGGGUAAAGGCCUACCAAGGCGACGAUCCGUAACUGGUCUGAGAGGAUGAUCAGUCACACUGGAACUGAGACACGGUCCAGACUCCUACGGGAGGCAGCAGUGGGGAAUAUUGGACAAUGGGCGAAAGCCUGAUCCAGCCAUGCCGCGUGUGUGAAGAAGGUCUUCGGAUUGUAAAGCACUUUAAGUUGGGAGGAAGGGCAGUAAGUUAAUACCUUGCUGUUUUGACGUUACCAACAGAAUAAGCACCGGCUAACUUCGUG
rnacentral:rRNA from 1 species